rnacentral:rRNA from 1 species
UACGGAGGGUGCGAGCGUUGUCCGGAUUUAUUGGGCGUAAAGAGCUCGUAGGCGGCUUUGUCAGUCGGGUGUGAAACCUCCAGGCUCAACCUGGAGCCGCCACCCGAUACUGCAAUGGCUAGAGUCCGGUAGGGGAGCAUGGAACUCCUGGUGUAGCGGUGAAAUGCGCAGAUAUUGGGAGGAACACCAGUGGCGAAGGCGGCGAUCUGGGAAGAUACUGACGCUGAGGUGCGAAAGCGUGGGGAGCAAACAGG